AACGAACGCUGGCGGCAGGCUUAACACAUGCAAGUCGAACGCCCCGCAAGGGGAGUGGCAGACGGGUGAGUAACGCGUGGGAAUCUACCCAGAACUUCGGAACAACUGAGGGAAACUUCAGCUAAUACCGGAUACGCCCUACGGGGGAAAGAUUUAUCGGUUCUGGAUGAGCCCGCGUAAGAUUAGCUAGUUGGUGAGGUAAUGGCUCACCAAGGCGACGAUCUUUAGCUGGUCUGAGAGGAUGAUCAGCCACACUGGGACUGAGACACGGCCCAGACUCCUACGGGAGGCAGCAGUGGGGAAUAUUGGACAAUGGGCGAAAGCCUGAUCCAGCCAUGCCGCGUGAGUAAUGAAGGCCUUAGGGUUGUAAAGCUCUUUCAGUGGGGAAGAUAAUGACGGUACCCACAGAAGAAGCCCCGGCUAACUUCGUGCCAGCCGCCGCUGUAACAC
rnacentral:rRNA from 1 species